rnacentral:rRNA from 1 species
GGUGAACGCUGGCGGCGUGGAUGAGGCAUGCAAGUCGAAUGGGUUUAGACCCAUGGCAGACGAGGUAGGAACACGUAGGUACAUACCGUAGAGUCGGGGAUAACCCGGAGAAAUCCGGAAUAAUACUCGAUAGUCCCUUCGGGGUAAAGAUUUAUCGCUCUAUGAAUGGCCUGCGUUCUAUCAGCUUGAUGGUAAGGUAACGGCUUACCAUGGCUACGACGGAUAGGGGAGGUGAGAGCCUGACCCCCACCGAUGGAACUGCGACACGGUCCAU